UACAGAGGGGGCAAGCGUUGUUCGGAAUUACUGGGCGUAAAGGGCGCGUAGGCGGCCUUCUAAGUCGAACGUGAAAUCCCCGGGCUCAACCCGGGAACUGCGUCCGAUACUGGAAAGGCUUGAAUCCGGGAGAGGGAUGCGGAAUUCCAGGUGUAGCGGUGAAAUGCGUAGAUAUCUGGAGGAACACCGGUGGCGAAGGCGGCGAGCUGGCCUGUACCUGACGCUGAGGCGCGACAGCGUGGGGAGCAAACAGG
rnacentral:rRNA from 1 species